UACGUAGGGUGCAGGCGUUAAUCGGAAUUACUGGGCGUAAAGCGUGCGCAGGCGGUUUCUUAAGUCAGAUGUGAAAGCCCCGGGCUUAACCUGGGAACUGCGUUUGAAACUGGGAGACUUGAGUGUGGCAGAGGGGGGUGGAAUUCCACGUGUAGCAGUGAAAUGCGUAGAUAUGUGGAGGAACACCGAUGGCGAAGGCAGCUCGCUGGGACGGUACUGACGCUGAGGCGCGAAAGCGUGGGGAGCAAACAGG
rnacentral:rRNA from 1 species